CCUGUGUGAUUUAUCCAGACCUGUUGCUCCCUGCCUAGCACACCUAUCCAGUCAUUCCCAUUGGUGGCAUUCCGUUAUCAGUGACUUGGAUAAUAAAAUGCAAAAUCACGGGGAUGGACAUGGGGGCCCUGGAUGCCCUAAUAUAGAGAAUACCUUACCCACCCCUGGCCUAGACCCGGGUCAUUUACCCUCUCAGGAAUUCCAGUCUCUCCUGGAAUCAACUAUGGCCGGUUCGGUCCAGCGAGCCUUGGCUUCAGCCAUGGGCUCUGUGUCCACCUCCCUAUCCCAUUCCCUGGCCCAGGCACUCAUGUUGCCCCCUGAAGUGCAACCUACUAUAACGGCCCAAACUGAGGUACCAGUCCCUGCGGCCCGUAAGGCAAAAGCCAAAACUAAGCAUACAUCAACGCUCCCACUGAUGCAGGUCUCCCCUGCCAUGACUGACCCGCCUAUGGCGGUCCUAGAUGGCGUGUUGCCACGCACAAGAGCCACUGGUCGG